rnacentral:rRNA from 1 species
CAGCCGCCGCGGUAAUACGUAGGUGGCAAGCGUUGCCCGGAAUUAUUGGGCGUAAAGGGCUCGCAGGCGGUUUCUUAAGUCUGAUGUGAAAGCCCCCGGCUCAACCGGGGAGGGUCAUUGGAAACUGGGAAACUUGAGUGCAGAAGAGGAGAGUGGAAUUCCACGUGUAGCGGUGAAAUGCGUAGAGAUGUGGAGGAACACCAGUGGCGAAGGCGACUCUUUGGUCUGUAACUGACGCUGAGGAGCGAAAGCCAGGGGAGCGAACGGGAUUAGAGACCCCUGUAGUCCCUGUCUCUUAUAC